GACGAACGCUGGCGGCGUGCUUAACACAUGCAAGUCGAACGGUAAGGCCCUUCGGGGUACACGAGUGGCGAACGGGUGAGUAACACGUGGGUGAUCUGCCCUGCACUUCGGGAUAAGCCUGGGAAACUGGGUCUAAUACCGGAUAGGACCACUGCCUGCAUGGGUGGUGGUGGAAAGCUUUUGCGGUGUGGGAUGGGCCCGCGGCCUAUCAGCUCGUUGGUGGGGUGAUGGCCUACCAAGGCGACGACGGGUAGCCGGCCUGAGAGGGUGACCGGCCGCACUGGGCCUGGGAUACGGCCCAGACUCCUACGGGAGGCAGCAGUGGGGAAUAUUGCACAAUGGGCGCAAGCCUGAUGCAGCGACGCCGCGUGAGGGAUGACGGCCUUCGGGUUGUAAACCUCUUUCAGCACCGACGAAGCGCAAGUGACGGUAGGUGCAGAAGAAGGACCGGCCAACUACGUGCCAGCCGCCGCCGUAA
rnacentral:rRNA from 1 species